CGGGGGGAGCGCGCAGGACUCCUCCGCCGGGGGGAAGAGAUGGACGAGCCUCCGAUAACGGCUUUAAACAAACGCGUUCCGGAGAAGUAGAAGACACUGCGCAGGAAGGACAAGCUGGACACGAAGCCACAACAUCUCCUCCACGUCUCCGCAUCGCGCAGCAGGAAGACGGAGCGUCUCCGCUCCGCGGGAUCUAAUCUGCGCGUUCCGUCCACAGCGGAAACAUCCAGCGCGAUUGAAUAACCCCCCUCGCCUUUUGUCUGACCUCCGAGGCCAAACACGCCGCUCUGACGGAUGAGGAAACGAUCCCGCGGUCAGUGAACGCCGCACUCAACAGGUGUUAUUCUCCCCAUCGCGUCACGCAGAAGCGCGCGCAUUUCGUGCACGCCGCCGGCCUCCGACCACGUGGUCGAGAGGCGCACAGGCAAAGCAGGUCCGCGCGCGUGUAUGUGCCGGCCUGUCUGUCUGAGUUAUGCGCGCGCACAUCCACAGCCGGACGCGCGCAAUGGGUCCAGGGCGCAGGUGGAAGGAAGAAGCACUUGUGCGCAGGAUACAGAGUGACGGUUGUUUACAGCUAGAAAAACAACAGGACAAUAGAGCUGAAAGGAGCAGAGCCCGUUUGGGCCUUUGACAAGAUGUUUGAGUGGGAGACGGAGCUGCUGUCUGGCUGCACAACCGACUGUGCACCCAGUGAACCACAGACAUCAAUCACUGAGAACAUCACUCAACACUCAAAUGUACGUGCGGUAAAAAUGACAAUGAUCAAUAACCACCGUGAUACACGUACAUAUAUGCAUUUAAUUCCACUUUGCUUCUGCGAUCCUGUGAAUUUCCCCAUUGUGGGACUAAUAAAGGAAUAUCUCAUCUUAUCUUA